UAAUGACUUGGCUAUGACAUCUGUUACCCUACUGAUGACUAGGGUUGACUCAGUUGAACUGGCUGGCCUUAUGUGUGUCCCUCUUGAAGCUGUGCACUUGGUCAAUAGUACCAUUUUCUCCAAUAGAGGAGGACUGUUCUUCAGGUAAGAGUAUAGGAGUGACUGAAAACUCAUGCACGAAUCUCCAAACAAGCUUUCAAGGUAGGAUUUCACUCUAACCCAGGCUGGCCUCAAAAUCGCAGUAAACUACCUGUUUCAGUUC
rnacentral:snRNA from 1 species